rnacentral:ncRNA from 2 species
GGCAUUCGCUAGGGGUGUCCUGCUGCGCUGCAGCAGGGCUGAGAUCACACCCUUUGAACCUGAUUGAGGUCAUCCUCGCGCAGGGAAGCUGUUCUGGUGAUUC